GGUGGUGCAUGGUUGUCGUCAGCUCGUGUCGUGAGAUGUUGGGUUAAGUCCCGCAACGAGCGCAACCCUUAUUCUUAGUUGCCAUCAUUUAGUUGGGCACUCUAAGGAGACUGCCGGUGACAAACCGGAGGAAGGUGGGGAUGACGUCAAAUCAUCAUGCCCCUUAUGACCUGGGCUACACACGUGCUACAAUGGACGAUACAAAGAGUCGCAAACUCGCGAGGGUAAGCUAAUCUCAUAAAAUCGUUCUCAGUUCGGAUUGUAGGCUGCAACUCGCCUGCAUGAAGCCGGAAUCGCUAGUAAUCGCGGAUCAUCAUGCCGCGGUGAAUACGUUCCCGGGUCUUGUACACAC
rnacentral:rRNA from 1 species